rnacentral:lncRNA from 1 species
AAUAACAUAACUAUUUAAAUAAAUCGUAAAUAACCCAAAAUAUAAAUUAUUAUAGUAAAAAACGUAAAUAACCCAAAAUCCCCAAAUUAAAUAACUUCAAUUCUAAACCCUUAAAUCGAUUUUCUCCUACCCCAUCUUUUUUCCUCCCUUCGAUCAUCACCACCGGCCAUCCCCACGGCGAGCUCGACCGGCGAUAAUCGAGUCCGACGCGCGAGCAUGAGAAUUCAGUCCGUCGAAGAAGAGACUUCCAUCCGGCGAGAGGCAAGGACUUGUGUAGUCCAGUCCGACGAGCACAGUGACCUCCACCUCUAAUCCAAUCUGGCGACCUCCAAGGUAAGACUCCACAUAGGCAAAUCUAAAAUGAGUGACUUCAGUCCGGCGAGCGGUUUUUUUUUAACAUAAAUAGGCAAAUCUAAAAUGGGUCAAUCUAAAAUACAUUAAUCUUUGGGUCCUCACUGUUUUGUUUUUAACAUACAUUGAUUUUAGUUCUUCCCAAAUGGUUAACAUAUCCAUUUAAUUUAAAAAUAUAAUCGGCCGAUAUCUACUAAAUGUCAUCUUCGAAACAAUCAGUAACAAUCCAAUGCAUAUAUACCUCAUAAAGACGGAGUUCAUGGGAGAUGAGCUUUGCAUAUUCCAUGAAAUCAUUUUCAAAUUUUGGAAUAAAGUUAUCUAGAGUCCUGUCGUCGCCUCUGGAACAGAAAAUUGAACUUCUGGAUUAUUACGAUUUCUCUUUUCUGUCCAUUUUCAAUUAAUUUACUGUUUUUAUUAUGAAUUGUAUAAUCAUAAUAAAUUUCUACGGUGAUUAUUAUGAUUUAUAAUAUUAUUUCUAUAGUGACUAACGGAAACUUCCAGUUCGGCAAGUAGCAGCAACUUGCGGUAGUUCCACUCCGGUGAGCAGAAGCGAUUUGCGGAAGUUCUACUCCCGGCGAGCAUAGACGUCCAUUUCUGUCUCUUUCUUCACCAUCAUCUAGCAUCUUCAAGACUCCACAACCCAUCGAUCUGAGGUUUAGAUCUUCUUCUUGAUUUAUAAUAUUAUUUCUAUUAUAAUUUCUAUAAUGAUUUCUAUAACUUACUUUUGUUAUUGGUCGUUUCUAAUUUCUAUAAUCGAUUAAUUACUUACUGUUUUGACUACUAUUAUGUUAUUUGUUGUGAAUGUGAUAAUCGAUUAUGUUAUUGCUGGUUUUCUAUAAUUUUCAUAUCAAAUUGAAAUUGACUGCUUAUUUGUGAAAUGCUCUAAUUCAGUUAAUCUUUCAUAGUAGGGUUAAUCUUACCAACUAG